GUAGGUGGCAAGCGUUGUCCGGAAUUAUUGGGCGUAAAGCGCGCGCAGGCGGUCCUUUAAGUCUGAUGUGAAAGCCCACGGGCUCAACCAUGGAGGGUCAUUGGAAACUGGGGGACUUGAGUACAGAAGAGGAAAGCGGAAUUCCAAGUGUAGCGGUGAAAUGCGUAGAGAUUUGGAGGAACACCAGUGGCGAAGGCGGCUUUCUGGUCUGUAACUGACGCUGAGGCGCGAAAGCGUGGGGAGCAAACAGGAUUAGAUACCCUGGUAGUCCACGCCGUAAACGAUGAGUGCUAAGUGUUAGGGGGUUUCCGCCCCUUAGUGCUGCAGCUAACGCAUUAAGCACUCCGCCUGGGGAGUACGGCCGCAAAGGCUG
rnacentral:rRNA from 1 species